UGAAAAUCCUACCGUAUAAGAAAAGCUCAGAGGGAAAACAAGCUCUGCCCCCGACCUUGUCCCGUGCCCUGGCUCCUCCCUCCGGCACCCCCAGCGCUCCCCACCCCUCCGCUGUCCUGCCUCUCAUGCUUUACUCCCCAGCUCUCCCCCUGCUGCUUCCACUCUGCUUUCCCCACACUACUUGCUUGCCUUGCUUUACCACCCUCCUCCUCCUCCUCCACCUAGAAUCUGAGCCUCAUGAGCCGAAGCUUGUUCUGUUGGCAGCCUCGUUACCCCACAGGGCCCUGCAGCUGGCACAUGACUUGGGCCGAUAUUAUCUGCUGGAUGAGUGAGAGGUGACUUUUUAACACCACAAAAUCCACAGCUUUAAUGGGAACCACUACGAAUCGGGAAUAAGUAACAACAGCAGAGGGGCUUCAGGAUGGCUGGAUACAGAAGCUGAGCCCAAGGAGCCCGGCAGGCCAGAAGUUGCCUACUGGAUGUCAGCUGUGUGCCAACCACUGUCUUCAGGGACAGUCACUGCCCAGUCCCUUUCUGGUUUGGAAGAAGCAAGGGAGACGGGGGACCAUGACUUAAACAUUCAUCUUCUUUAAAUACCAGACCCAAGGAGGGAUGCGCUGGCCGUGUGCAUGUAUGGAAAGGGUGUGUCGGGUACCAUGAGGAGGAUGGCUGUGGCCAAGCGCUGCCCAGGGUGGCGGGAGGAUGGAGCUGUGUGGGCUCGCAGUUCUGCAGCCCCGCAGGAUGGUUCCCCUGAGGGCAGCUCCACUCCGGGAAGGAGGUCUCUCCAUCCACCUUCGCUCUGUGUGCUCUUCGUGCCCAAACUGCCCCUUUCCUGAGGACGCCAGUCUCAUGGGUGCAGUGCCCACCUGAAUGUCUCUCUGUGGCUUGGUUUUCUGUUUACAGACCCACCUCCAAAUACCUCCUGUUCUGAGGUGCUGGGGCUUACGUCUUCAGCAUUUGAAUUUCUGGUGGACGGAAUUCGACCAUGGCUCACUCCCUCUCUGUCCAGCUACGGAGAGUGGUGGACAGUGAGGACGCUCAGUCAGCAGCAGCUCCGCCACACCGCGGAGGAUGGGUUCAGGGAGGUGAUGGGGCAGGCCCCUCCCCGGGUGGAGGUUACAUUCUCUCUGCAGCCUGGGUCUGAGGGCUGCGCACACAGAGGAGAGGACCUCCGCUGGGCUCCAGGCCAGGGGCUGUGGAUAAGAGGUGGACGGCAUCGUCCCGAGAAACAGCACCUGCAGAAGGAGGAAAACCCAUGUAACCCAAGGCUCCAGCUGCUGGGGCACUGCAGUCAGGUGACUCUGAGUAUGACUUGAGGACAAAUGGAGGAGGCCUCCGCUCUCUGCAUCAGUCACCAGCAGCCAGGCGACCCUGGACGAGUGCAUGUUGCUCUGGAGCUCGUUCCUCCCAGGUAAGCCUCCUCCCUCGGGCUCACAUGCUGGACACACGAGGCCCACACGGCCUGGACAGCAGUCUGCAUUACUCAGUCGCUGUGCAUUUUGUGCGAAUCUGACUUAAAAUAUCCCAGACCGCCCCUAGACCAGCCUGUGAACAAACAUCAGGCAACUCUGGCCUCUCUGAGCUGAUGCGGAGUCAUCCCUGACUGCCUCUGUCCCCGUGCCAGGGACAGGAGUGUGCCCACGCCAGCUCUGCCCACGCACCGUCACUGGGCCCACCCUGCUGCGCCCGAGCUCUCAGGUCCUCCGGGUGGGUGGCAGGUGCCCCCCAGGGCUGGCGAGCUGGGGUGCGAAGCCCAUGGGUUCCAUCUGCUCUGUGGACAUGCUGGGCAAAGGGGUGGCUGCCCGAGGCCACUGUGCAGGGCUGGCUUCCCACCAAGACAGCUCCUGCAUGUGUGCACUGUCCCUCGGGAGACCGCCCCCACUGCCCCAGUCCUUUCUCACCCCUACCCAUGCUGGGACUGUUUCCAGGAAAACAGCCCACAUCCAGUCCAUCGGGGCUGCCGCAUAAGAGCCAGCACUGCCUCAGGCAAAACCGGUGUGUUUGUCUCCUGCAGUCCGGCAUCAGGCUCGGAGAACAGAUCCGGCUCACGGAGCUUCCAGAAUCCCACAGGAUCUACAUGGUGCCGGCUCAUGGAAUAAUGAAUAAUUGUGGAAGGAAGGAUGGGAGGAGGAGGGAGGGAGGGAGGAUAGCUGGAGGGCAGGCAGGAGGAAGAGGGCCGAGGCCAGGGCCCAGCGUGUCCCCUGCUUUCCUCCCACAGGCUCCCUCAGGCCGCCUCACUCAUGGACCCCAGUAGCAGUGGUUGCUAAGGCUUAGCAGCUGUUCAGAUGUGCCUGGCACCACCCCAGGGCUUUGCAGUAAAUCCUCAGAACCACCCGAGGAGAUCAUUCUGUUAUCAUCCCUGCUUCGGAAAAACUGAGGCACAGGGAGAUACUAGCUCUGCACAGAUUACUGAACUAGAAUGUGGCAAGGCUUGAAUUCGGACUGAAGGAGCCGGAUUCAGUGUUCUUUCAGCUGUUCUCUUUGACCUCCCUCC